rnacentral:rRNA from 1 species
UGGGUGUGACUGCGUACCUUUUGUAUAAUGGGUCAGCGACUUAUAUUCUGUAGCAAGGUUAACCGAAUAGGGGAGCCGGAGGGAAACCGAGUCUUAACCGGGCGUUAAGUUGCAGGGUAUAGACCCGAAACCCGGUGAUCUAGCCAUGGGCAGGUUGAAGGUUGGGUAACACUAACUGGAGGACCGAACCGACUAAUGUUGAAAAAUUAGCGGAUGACCUGUGGCUGGGGGUGAAAGGCCAAUCAAACCGGGAGAUAGCUGGUUCUCCCCGAAAGCUAUUUAGGUAGCGCCUCGUGAAUUCAUCUCCGGGGGUAGAGCACUGUUUCGGCUAGGGGGCCAUCCCGGCUUACCAACCCGAUGCAAACUGCGAAUACCGGAGAAUGUUAUCACGGGAGACACACGGCGGGUGCUAACGUCCGUCGUGAAGAGGGAAACAACCCAGACCGCCAGCUAAGGUCCCAAAGUCAUGGUUAAGUGGGAAACGAUGUGGGAAGGCCCAGACAGCCAGGAUGUUGGCUUAGAAGCAGCCAUCAUUUAAAGAAAGCGUAAUAGCUCACUGGUCGAGUCGGCCUGCGCGGAAGAUGUAACGGGGCUAAACCAUGCACCGAAGCUGCGGCAGCGACACUGUGUGUUGUUGGGUAGGGGAGCGUUCUGUAAGCCUGUGAAGGUGUGUCGUGAGGCAUGCUGGAGGUAUCAGAAGUGCGAAUGCUGACAUAAGUAACGAUAAAGCGGGUGAAAAGCCCGCUCGCCGGAAGACCAAGGGUUCCUGUCCAACGUUAAUCGGGGCAGGGUGAGUCGACCCCUAAGGCGAGGCCGAAAGGCGUAGUCGAUGGGAAACGGGUUAAUAUUCCCGUACUUGGUGUUACUGCGAAGGGGGGACGGAGAAGGCUAUGUUGGCCGGGCGACGGUUGUCCCGGUUUAAGCGUGUAGGUGUGUGUUCCAGGUAAAUCCGGUUCACUUUAACACUGAGGCGUGACGACGAGGCACUACGGUGCUGAAGCAACAAAUGCCCUGCUUCCAGGAAAAGCCUCUAAGCAUCAGGUAACAUCAAAUCGUACCCCAAACCGACACAGGUGGUCAGGUAGAGAAUACCAAGGCGCUUGAGAGAACUCGGGUGAAGGAACUAGGCAAAAUGGUGCCGUAACUUCGGGAGAAGGCACGCUGACACGUAGGUGAAGUGAUUUACUCAUGGAGCUGAAGUCAGUCGAAGAUACCAGCUGGCUGCAACUGUUUAUUAAAAACACAGCACUGUGCAAACACGAAAGUGGACGUAUACGGUGUGACGCCUGCCCGGUGCCGGAAGGUUAAUUGAUGGGGUCAGCGCAAGCGAAGCUCCUGAUCGAAGCCCCGGUAAACGGCGGCCGUAACUAUAACGGUCCUAAGGUAGCGAAAUUCCUUGUCGGGUAAGUUCCGACCUGCACGAAUGGCGUAAUGAUGGCCAGGCUGUCUCCACCCGAGACUCAGUGAAAUUGAACUCGCUGUGAAGAUGCAGUGUACCCGCGGCAAGACGGAAAGACCCCGUGAACCUUUACUAUAGCUUGACACUGAACAUUGAGCCUUGAUGUGUAGGAUAGGUGGGAGGCUUUGAAGUGUGGACGCCAGUCUGCAUGGAGCCGACCUUGAAAUACCACCCUUUAAUGUUUGAUGUUCUAACGUGGACCCGUUACCCGGGUUGCGGACAGUGUCUGGUGGGUAGUUUGACUGGGGCGGUCUCCUCCUAAAGAGUAACGGAGGAGCACGAAGGUUGGCUAAUCCUGGUCGGACAUCAGGAGGUUAGUGCAAUGGCAUAAGCCAGCUUGACUGCGAGCGUGACGGCGCGAGCAGGUGCGAAAGCAGGUCAUAGUGAUCCGGUGGUUCUGAAUGGAAGGGCCAUCGCUCAACGGAUAAAAGGUACUCCGGGGAUAACAGGCUGAUACCGCCCAAGAGUUCAUAUCGACGGCGGUGUUUGGCACCUCGAUGUCGGCUCAUCACAUCCUGGGGCUGAAGUAGGUCCCAAGGGUAUGGCUGUUCGCCAUUUAAAGUGGUACGCGAGCUGGGUUUAGAACGUCGUGAGACAGUUCGGUCCCUAUCUGCCGUGGGCGCUGGAGAACUGAGGGGGGCUGCUCCUAGUACGAGAGGACCGGAGUGGACGCAUCACUGGUGUUCGGGUUGUCAUGCCAAUGGCACUGCCCGGUAGCUAAAUGCGGAAGAGAUAAGUGCUGAAAGCAUCUAAGCACGAAACUUGCCCCGAGAUGAGUUCUCCCUGAGACUUAGAGUCUCCUGAAGGAACGUUGAAGACGACGACGUUGAUAGGCCGGGUGUGUAAGCGCAGCGAUGCGUUGAGCUAACCGGUACUAAUGAACCGUGAGGCUUAACCUU